rnacentral:rRNA from 1 species
UGGGGAAUAUUGGACAAUGGGCGAAAGCCUGAUCCAGCAAUGCCGCGUGAAUGAUGAAGGUCCUAUGGAUUGUAAAGUUCUUUUAUUGGAGAAGAUAAUGACGGUAUCCAAUGAAUAAGCACCGACUAACUACGUGCCAGCAGUCGCGGUAAUACGUAGGGUGCUAGCGUUACUCGGAUUUACUGGGCGUAAAGCACAUGUAGGCUGGUUAGUAAGACAGAAGUGUAAUCCCUAAGCUUAACUUAGGAACUGCUUUUGUUACUGCUAAUCUGGAGUGUGAUAUGAGAUGAUGGAAUUCCUAGUGUAGGGGUAAAAUCCGUAGAUAUUAGGAGGAACACCAAAAGCGAAAGCAAUCAUCUGGGUCAUUACUGACGCUGAGAUGUGAAAGCGUAGGGAGCAAACA